rnacentral:misc_RNA from 1 species
UCUCCGUAGGUGAACCCGCGGAGGGAUCAUUACAAGUAACCCCGGUCUUACCACCGGGAUGUUCAUAACCCUUUGUUGUCCGACUCUGUUGCCUCCGGGGCGACCCUGCCUUCGGGCGGGGGCUCCGGGUGGACACUUCAAACUCUUGCGUAACUUUGCAGUCUGAGUAAACUUAAUUAAUAAAUUAAAACUUUUAACAACGGAUCUCUUGGUUCUG